AGAAUCCUUCCUGCUUCUCAAACUCAAGAUAAUGUAGGCAGAAAGGAUGUGAUGAGAGAUGUUUAACUGCAGUUUUCAUUUCUUAUUCCUGAGUAAUGUCACCUCCCUCCCACUUCUCUGGGCGCAGAGACAUCCGUCAAAUGCCCACAGCAAGUUCGUCAUGAAAUGCCUUCUGACAGGAAUGGCAGCUUGCAGCCCACAGCUAUGAAGGAUGUUAUGAAGAUCAGCGCGAGGACAGUACAUGGGGCAAAUGCUGAGGGCUUGCGGCCGUGUCUGUGCUGUUA
rnacentral:lncRNA from 1 species